rnacentral:rRNA from 1 species
CUUUUGUUAUGUUGGUGUAUAUCUGGUUUGAUAUUAUUGUUUAGUGACUUAUCAAUUUGUGUAAGAAAUAUUUAAGCCAAGUCUAUGUGCUGCUUAUAAAAGUUUUCAUGCGUUACUCUUAUAAAGUUUAUAUUGUAAUAUAUAAUUAUUUAGGACUCAAUAGUAAUGUUUUAUUAAUUUGUGGAUGUGAAAUAAGUUUAGCUUGGGUACACACCGCCCGUCAA